rnacentral:rRNA from 1 species
UACGUAGGUGGCAAGCGUUGUCCGGAUUUACUGGGCGUAAAGAGCGCGCAGGCGGUCGUUCAAGUCGCGUGUGAAAGCCCACGGCUCAACCGUGGAGGGUCAUUGGAAACUGGGGGACUUGAGUACAGAAGAGAAGAGUGGAAUUCCACGUGUAGCGGUGAAAUGCGUAGAGAUGUGGAGGAACACCAGUGGCGAAGGCGACUCUUUGGUCUGUAACUGACGCUGAGGCGCGAAAGCGUGGGGAGCAAACAGG